GGUUGAAUGGUGUAACGGUAGCACAUAGGAUUUUGAACAUUUAAAGAUCUUCCUGUGACCUGGGUUCGACUCCCAGUUCGACCU